rnacentral:rRNA from 1 species
UAGUCCACGCAGUAAACGAUGAUUACUCGUUGUUGGCGAUACACAGUCAGCGACUGAGCGAAAGCAUUAAGUAAUCCACCUGGGGAGUACGAUCGCAAGGUUGAAACUCAAAGGAAUUGACGGGGGCCCGCACAAGCGGUGGAGCAUGUGGUUUAAUUCGAUGAUACGCGAGGAACCUUACCAGGGCUUAAAUGUAGAUUGCUUUAUUUGGAAACAGAUAUUUCUUCGGACAAUUUACAAGGUGCUGCAUGGUUGUCGUCAGCUCGUGCUGUGAAGUGUCGGGUUAAGUCCCAUAACGAGCGCAACCCCUAUCUUUAGUUGCUAGCAGGUCAAGCUGAGGACUCUAAAGAAACUGCCAGCGCAAGCUGUGAGGAAGGUGGGGAUGACGUCAAAUCAUCACGGCCCUUACGUCCUGGGCCACACACGUGCUACAAUGGUAGGUACAGAGGGCAGCUACCUGGUGACAGGAUGCGAAUCUCAAAAGCCUAU